rnacentral:tRNA from 1 species
GGGCGUAUAGCUCAGUUGGCUAGAGCGCAGCUCUGAUAAAGCUGAGGUCAUUGGUUCGAAUCCAAUUACGCCCA